UCCUUGAGAGUCCUGAAGGAACGUUGAAGACGACGACGUUGAUAGGUCGGGUGUGUAAGCGCAGCGAUGCGUUGAGCUAACCGAUACUAAUGAACCGUGAGGCUUAACCUUACAACGCCGAAGGUGUUU
rnacentral:rRNA from 1 species